UUCCAGAAUCCCCACAUAACACAUACAGAGCAACAAGAUAUUGAAGCCAAACCCAUGGAUAAUAUUUACAACAAGACUAAAUGACAAAGUAUUCCCCUGUUACUGCAAAAUGCAAGUUAGGUGGACAACGGCCACCAGAUCUGCACAAUAUCACUUUAAAAGUGGGAAAAGUAGAAGGAAGCAACCAUGUGACCGGACGCCUGAGGACUUUGCGCAUGCUUAGUACAGCAGCAGAGUAAGCCGGAACCCGCCCCCUUCCCAGGAGAGCCCUACGUAUGCGCGGGUGCAGGAGUCACGUGAGGAACCACACGAGCGUCGGGAGCUUGUGCGGAGCAGGAGUCCGGGGGGAAGCUGCUGGUGAGACGCGCAGGGACUUGGCUCACUCCACCAGUGAUUGAGGCAGAAGUCUAAGCAUUAUUAAAGACACAGCAAGAAGAAUUGGCAUUUACUUGUAUGGAAAAAAUACAAACUGAAGUACACGAAAUAACUUCAUAGUAAGAUCAUUAGUGACAAGAAAAAUUUGCCAAAGGGCAUCACAGAAUAUUCUUUUCUUCAAUAUCAUCCGGAAAAGGAGAAAUUCCAGUUAGGUGUUACAGAGUCAGCCUUUGUAAAGCUACAGAGUAGCUCUUUUCUACUGGAUAACAUCAAAAGGGACUGCUCAUCAGGUGCUCCAAUAAGGAAUGGACAUCACUGGUGCCCUGGAUGGCUGUCUCCCUCCCUCUGUCUCUCUGGAAAAGCUGACAGGUCCUUGAAAUCUGCUUCCAAGCUCACUCACGUGGAUCUUUCCCCAGGACUGUCUUGUGACUCUGCACCUGACUUGCCUCAGCAUGAGCGAUUUGAGGGAGAACAAGAGAGGGAGUGCCAAGAGGGAAGCCUCUGCUUUUGUGUUCUCUAAUCUCAGAAUUGACACUCCAUCACCUCUGCCUCAUGCUUUCUGCUAGAAGAAAGUCCCUAAGCCAAACCCAUACAAGGGCACAAAUAGGAGGCAGGUGUGUGUCACUGGGGUCCACAGAGUUUGCCAUAAAUAGCAAUGGUCAAUUUCUUGACCUUGGUGGAGAUUACAUGAGUAAUUGCUUUAUGGUUGUUCACUGGACUGUAUAUGU